AGGUCGAUCCCCGGCAGAAAAGGAAAAACACCCCAAAAGAACAGAAACCGAAAAACCAAAAACGAAGAAUUACGGUCGCCUUCAUUUUUUUUUUUUUUUUUUUUUUUUCCCGGGCUUGUUUCGCGCGGGGACUCGAACUCGGGCCCUUGCGCUUGCGAGGCCGGCGCCGGAACCACGGAGCUAAAUGCCCGCGCCGGCUCGCCUCGCCUCUUUGCCCCUCAAAUGGGUUGCAUGCUGCCUGGCACCUGGGGAGCAAGUCAGCCGAGGGGAGUAGGAGCUGGGAGCCAGCUCCAAGGCCCUAGGGUUCCGGUUGGCUCUUUGGGAAUAUGCUCAACGAGGAGAGUGGCUCUUGCCAUGCCAUACCGAUAGGUGGAACAUUCCUGGACUCCAAGAAAACACUUUGGGACAUGAUUUUCCACAUCGAGGGGCCUCUCCAAAGGGAAGGCCUUCGACACUUUGGGAUCGGACGCGUCUCCUCGUCAGAAGGUUAGAACGGUCGAACUUUCGGGACCCAGAAAAGUAAGUAUAGCAACAGUUUUAGAGGCUACCACGGUCUGACUCUAUGGUGUCCUGCUUGCCAUGACAAAGUAGCUUUAUAUACAUUACUUGCUUUCGUAGUUUUUCAAGGAAGAUAUCGUUAUAAAACUACUGAGAUUCGAAAAGAUAGUCGUCAAGGUCCUAUGGCAUUGUGUGGGAAAAGAACACGAGCGGACCGAAACGCACAGAAAAACGCCUAAUGUAGGAUGGACACAUGAUACGUUUACAGUACAAUUUGGAUCUGAAUGAUCACUAAAGUUAUCACGAACCAACAUUCUGUCUGUUCAAAUAUAGAAAUAUAUAACUAAAUAGAGCCGGUAGUCAUCAGAAAUACGAAAAGGUAUUACACAGAAGACUUACAGCAGUGGAAGAGACCUUUCCUCUUCUUACCUGCGGCCAGACCUUCAGCCUUAGAUGUCCACCCUGGUGAUGUGGAGGGCUGAUGUCAUGAAGGGAUUGUGACGUACCAAACUUUAAAGGGCAACACAGAGCAGUUACCUUUUAGUGUGGCUGGGCUUCCACAUGGCUGAACAUCCUGUUCUGAGAGAUUCUGUCAAUUAUUGUUUGACUUUAUCUGGUGACAAUGGGAGAAAGGAGAAAAUAUUGUGGAUUUGAGGACAGUGGAAAAAGCAUGCAUCCUCCUGUUGGAUAAGAAAAGACUAUUCAACAGACUAGGAAGAGGUAGUCGACUUAACUCUUGGUCUUAGAGAGGUUAGAGGAGUGGGAAAAAUGGUGGAGCAGUGUUGCGAAAGGCACCUGAGUAGUGGGUUCAAUAGGGAACAGGUUGCAAUUGAGGUUUUGAAGGCCUGCCUAUUUAAAGGCACUACUAAAGCGGGAGUCAAACUGGAAAAGGGAUCAAGGAUUUGAAACGUGAGAUAUGAAAAUGAUCACCCAUGUGGUAAGGUCAUCGGGAAUGAAGACAAGUGUCCAGUUGAAUGACAAGACAGUGGGCCAAAGGGAAAACAAGAGCAGAUGAAAGUUACCGGGGAAUUCAUCAAAGGAUAAAAGAAAGCAAAGUACCAGGUGAGAGAAUCUGAUGACAGAAGAUUAAAAGGAGAGUUGUUUUAUGCAAGUCGGGCAGGCCAAGGACCCAGAAGCGGCACUGAGGAAAAAAUCUCCAACAGCUCUUGCCCUUCUAGGUCUGGUAGGAGGAGGGAAUGUGGCAAGGAAAACGGCACUUGCCCUAGAAGGCUCCAAAGCAGGAUACUUGGAGAUAGAGCAGGAUUUUAGGUAGGGCAAGAAGAUAGGAAUAGCGUUCAGCUGGGGCCAGAGAAAGACGCAGAGGGUUUGACUGAAGGCAUGGGAUGUCAGAGAGUGGACACGCAAUGGUGACAUACCCCUGAGGCCUUUGCGAUGCAAGGUGCAGGCAGUAUCCAGCUCGAAGUGCCUUUAUAAAAACGUCAGUGAUUUGAGAAGCUCAUGUGGGGACCUGAGGUGUAAUGUCUAGAUAAAACUCAUUCUUUCCCUUUCAAACGACGGCGUCUUUAAUGUUAUUUUUGGAAAAGUGACAUGCCCUCCGGGAAAACAGCACCAAAACUUCACCCUAAUAGUUGUGAACUAAUAGUUUAUCAUUUGCAGUGCAGACUAAAAUCUUCUCUAACUCUUCCUUCCAAGUUUGAGGUCACGUGCCUUCCCAUUUGUCUGAUCGAUCAACAGUUUGUAUCCUUCAGCUCUUUCCGUGGAACAUUCAUUUUAUUUCCUCAUUCCCUUUUCCCGUUUGCUUGGAGGUAAUAGGAACAUUAAUGGGGCCGGGGUUUAGCUCAGCGGUUCUGGCGCCUGUCUCAGCAGCGCAAGGCCUCAAGGUCGAUCCCCGGCAGAAAAGGAAAAACACCCCAAAAGAACAGAAACCGAAAAACCAAAAACGAAGAAUUACGGUCGCCUUCACUUUUUUUUUUUUUUUUUUUUUUUCCCGGGCUUGUUUCGCGGGGGACUCGAACUCGGGCCCUUGUGCUUGCGAGGCCGGCGCCGGAACCACGGAGCUAAAUGCCCGCGCCGGCUCGCCUCGCCUCUUUGCCCCUCAAAUGGGUUGCAUGCUGCCUGGCACCUGGGGAGCAAGUCAGCCUAGGGGAGUAGGAGCUGGGAGCCAGCUCCAAGGCCCUAGGGUUCCGGUUGGCUCUUUGGGAAUAUGCUCAACGAGGAGAGUGGCUCUUGCCAUGCCAUACCGAUAGGUGGAACAUUCCUGGACUCCAAGAAAACACUUUGGGACAUGAUUUUCCACAUCGAGGGGCCUCUCCAAAGGGAAGGCCUUCGACACUUUGGGAUCGGACGCGUCUCCUCGUCAGAAGGUUAGAACGGUCGAACUUUCGGGACCCAGAAAAGUAAGUAUAGCAACAGUUUUAG
ensembl:lncRNA